rnacentral:rRNA from 1 species
UACGGGGGGGGCAAGCGUUGUUCGGAAUUACUGGGCGUAAAGGGCUCGUAGGCGGCCAACUAAGUCAUACGUGAAAUCCCUCGGCUUAACCGGGGAACUGCGUCUGAUACUGGAUGGCUUGAGUUCGGGAGAGGGAUGCGGAAUUCCAGGUGUAGCGGUGAAAUGCGUAGAUAUCUGGAGGAACACCGGUGGCGAAGGCGGCAUCCUGGACCGAUACUGACGCUGAGGAGCGAAAGCCAGGGAGCAAACGGG